rnacentral:rRNA from 1 species
UUAUUUUAGCGGCGGACGGGUGAGUAACGUGUGGGCAACCUACCUUUUACUGUGGAAUGAUCGUUGGAAACGACGACUAAUACCGCAUACGGUUCUUGGAAGGCAUCUUCUAAGAAAGAAAGGAUUUAUUCGGUAAAAGAUGGGCCCGCAUCUGAUUAGCUAGUUGGUGAGAUAAUAGCCCACCAAGGCAACGAUCAGUAGCCGACCUGAGAGGGUGACCGGCCACAUUGGGACUGAGACACGGCCCAAACUCCUACGGAAGGCAGCAG